rnacentral:rRNA from 1 species
AACGAACGCUGGCGGCGUGCUUAACACAUGCAAGUCGAACGCGAAAGGGACUUCGGUCCUGAGUAAAGUGGCGCACGGGUGAGUAACGCGUGGAUAAUCUACCCAAUGAUCUGGGAUAACAUCUCGAAAGAGGUGCUAAUACCGGAUAAGACCACGAAGUCUUCGGACUUUGCGGUAAAAGGUGGGGACCUUCGGGCCUACCGUCAUCGGAUGAGUCCGCGUACCAUUAGCUAGUUGGUGGGGUAAUGGCCUACCAAGGCUACGAUGGUUAGCUGGUCUGAGAGGAUGAUCAGCCACACUGGAACUGAGACACGGUCCAGACUCCUACGGGUGGCUG